rnacentral:rRNA from 1 species
GUUCUUCGGAACUAGAGACCGGCGCACGGGUGCGUAACGCGUAUGCAAUCUACCUUUUACAGAGGGAUAGCCCAGAGAAAUUUGGAUUAAUACCUCAUAGUAUAUAGCCCUGGCAUCAGGAUUAUAUUAAAGUCACAACGGUAAAAGAUGAGCAUGCGUCCCAUUAGCUAGUUGGUAAGGUAACGGCUUACCAAGGCUACGAUGGGUAGGGGUCCUGAGAGGGAGAUCCCCCACACUGGUACUGAGACACGGACCAGACUCCUACGGGAGGCAGCAGUGAGGAAUAUUGGACAAUGGGCGCAAGCCUGAUCCAGCCAUGCCGCGUGCAGGAUGACGGUCCUAUGGAUUGUAAACUGCUUUUAUACGAGAAGAAACACUCCGACGUGUCGGAACUUGACGGUAUCGUAAGAAUAAGGAUCGGCUAACUCCGUGCCAGCAGCCGCGGUAAUACGGAGGAU